GUCCCUUCAGAGACAUCUGAAAAAAUUGGAACAAUACAAAGAAGAUUAGCAUUACUUACGCAAGGAUCACACACAGUACAAAUUGAAAAAUAGUCCAAUUUU